AUUGAACGCUGGCGGCAUGCCUUACACAUGCAAGUCGAACGGCAGUACGGGUGCUUGCACCUGGUGGCGAGUGGCGAACGGGUGAGUAAUACAUCGGAACGUACCUUAUCGUGGGGGAUAACGCAGCGAAAGCUGUGCUAAUACCGCAUACGCCCUGAGGGGGAAAGCGGGGGAUCGCAAGACCUCGCGCGAUUAGAGCGGCCGAUGCCUGAUUAGCUAGUUGGUGGGGUAAAAGCCCACCAAGGCGACGAUCAGUAGCUGGUCUGAGAGGACGAUCAGCCACACUGGGACUGAGACACGGCCCAGACUCCUACGGGAGGCAGCAGCGGGGAAUUUUGGACAAUGGGGGCAACCCUGAUCCAGCAAUGCCGCGUGAGUGAAGAAGGCCUUCGGGUUGUAAAGCUCUUUUGUCAGGGAAGAAACACCGGCUCUAACACAGUCCGGGAAUGACGGUACCUGAAGAAUAAGCACCGGCUAACUACGUGCCAGCAGCCGCAGUAA
rnacentral:rRNA from 1 species